rnacentral:pre_miRNA from 8 species
AGUCACCAUCUUCAGCUGAGUGUCGUGCUCUACUCCAGAGGGCGUCACUCACAUAAACUAAAACAUGAUUGUCGCCUUUUUGAGUAGAGUAAUACACAUCACGUAAGGCAUAUUUGGU